UUUCAGGUGAACAUGGCGAAGCUAACUAUUCAAAAUACUGCAACAAAGUGGUGUCUUACUUCCUGUAGUGAAACAAUGUCAACGGAAGGCUUUCACGUAUAUUUGUGGUAAUCAAGAAUGAACCACUGAUGUAUGCAUUAUACAAUCAACUAAAUUAUGGAUACUAUACACCUUUAUUAUCAGAAGACAACACUAUUUUUUUUAUGAUUAACCAGCUUGUUUACUAGGUAAAGAACCAUUAUACUGAAUGGUACGUCGCCAAGGAUAUUAAAAACAAUCGAUAGGAUGUAAUGAAGUGAAUAGUUAU
rnacentral:lncRNA from 1 species